rnacentral:misc_RNA from 1 species
GAAGUAAAAGUGUAACAAGGUUUCCGUAGGUGAACCUGCGGAAGGAUCAUUAUUGUAUAACCGAGGUGCGAGGGCUGUCGCUGACCCGAAAGGUCGUGCACGCCCGAGUGCCCUCACACACAUCCAUCUCACCCCUAUGUGCACCACCGCGUGGGUCCCCCUUUGGCUUGUUCGGAGGGGGGCUUACGUUUUCACACAAACUUUGUAUGCAGUGUAGAAUGUAUUUUUUGUUUUUGCGAUCACGCAAUCAAUACGACUUUCAACAACGGAUCUCUUGGCUCUC